AGAGGUGGACAUCCCCACCCUCGUAAAUCUUUCAAAAACAAAACCCGCUAACCAUGGCAUAUCCUCACACGUUUUCCCGCACUUUGCUUUCCCUCACUUAAGUGUCUGCUGGGUUGGGUACCCAUUAGUGUAGGAGCCGUCCUGCGCUUUCCCGCGACAGCACGUCACUUCUCCGAAAGGAGGAACGAACUCGUUUCACCUUGUCCCUGGUUUCGCGGGCAAGACCGGAAGAUCAGCCUCCGCGAGGAAGCCGAGGGAACUGGAGCUAAGGGGACCCAAACUGCUGGGAGGGAAUACCUAACGUGGCCGUGGGGCUUCGUCAGCCCGGAGCCGAGUCCAGGAAGGGCAGGGCCCGUUGCCCGCGAGGCCGCCCCACCGCCCCGACAAGCACCGAGGCCCAGAGAGAGCACCCAGCGACGGCGGCCAGGCCACUUCCGGCCGCGCAGUGGGGGCCGCCAUCUUGGACUCUUGGCCACCUAAACGACAACAAAGACGGCGGGACACUGCGGAAGCUGUCUUUCUCCGGGAGCCUACUGCGAUCCCAGCUCACAGAUCGCCGGGUGUCCCAAAAACAGACCGGCCCCUCAGCGUUCCGUACCGCCACACAGGGAGCCGCCAUCUUGUACUGCAGAACUCUCCAUUUCCGGGACCGGCCGCUGACGUGACUCGUGAGGUGCGAGCCAACAAAGGCGGCGCGAGCGCCGUCUGGCGGUAGCGCCGCAAAAGCGCCGACAGCUAUGACCCGACGAGGAUUCUGCUUCCGGGUCUCCGAGGGGGCGGGUCGCUGACCCAAGCGCCGGGCAGGGGCGUGGCUGGGGUGGCCUGGGGAGCAUGCGCAUCGACGUUGGAGCGGGGCGGGGCUCGGCCUGCUCAGGUUGAGGGUCCUAAGUGAAAGUGAAAGGUGAAAGUCGCUCCGUCUUGUCGGACUCUUUGCGACACCAUGGAGCACGCCAGGCCUCCCUGUCCAUCACCAACUCCCGGAGCUUGCUCAAACUCAUGUCCAUCGAGACAGCCUGUGCCGCCCUGGGUCACAUCUGGAGGAGCCUCCUGGGCAGGGGCAGUUGAUACGGCACAGGGGGCAGCGCGGUGCACGCGGUGGGGCCAUUGCUGCCCGGAGCUGAGGACGCUUCCGCAGAGGGUGGCCACGGAGCAGACAAGGCGUGAAAGUACCUGCUCAGCUGCCGAGCCCAGCACCGCGUCGCUGUGCUACUUGGCUUGUGGGACCCUAGUUCCCCAUCCAGGGAUCGAACUUGGACCCUGGCAGUGAAAGCACCAAGAGUCCUAACCACUAGACUGCCAGGGAAUUCCCCUUGCAGUUGUCUUUUAAGCAAAAGAGAAUAAUAAAAAAGCUACAAAAGUAUAUUAUGUUAUUGCUUACAUUUAUCUUCAUUGGUCCUCUUUUCCCCUGUAUUUGGAAUCAAGUUAAUGACUAGUAUCAUUUCACUUUAGCCUGAAAGAUUCCCUUUAUUAUUUAUUGGAAUGCAGGUUUGCUAGCAACAAAUUCUCUCAAUCUUUGUUUAUCUUGGAAUCAUCAUUGCUGUUUCAUUUUUAUUUUAGCAUUAUCAGUUCAGUUGCUCAGUCGUGUCCGACUCUUUACAACCCCAUGGACUGCAGCACGCCAGGCCCCCUGUCCAUCACCAACUCCUGGA